rnacentral:tRNA from 1 species
GAGGUUGUGAUUCAGUGGUAGAGCACUCGCCUGGCAUGUGAGAGGCCCUGGAUUCGAUCCUCAGCACCACA